rnacentral:lncRNA from 1 species
AACCCCUGCCCUCUGCAGUGGAAGCACAGAAUCUUAGUUACUGGACUGCCAGGGAAGUCUCAAGACUGGCUGGUUUGGGGAAUCAAAAGGCAAAUGGGCUAGUGUGGAUGAAGGGCAGGAUGCUUGAGGGGAAAGGGGCAGGGAUGGAUAGAGUGAGAAAGAAAGCUGCUGCUGCUACCCUUCCCACUUGGAAAAUGCCCAAAUUAUUUUCUGCUCUCUUUGGCUGAGGUAAGAAUUCAGCUUUGUAGAACUAGGGCCUGACACAGUUGUGUUUGUAACCACCACUCUCUCCUCUAUCCAUCCUCACCAGAAAAUCUACUGAGGGGACCCUCUUCAUAGCAGCCCCACAUCAAGACAGUGACCAAGAGGGAGGAGAGAAGCCAUGUCUUGAAGUUCUCAAUUCAAAAAGAUUUUGGUUCUGAGGCUUAGGCUGAAAAGGCAGAGUUGAGGAGGGUAUUGGAUUGUGCAGGAACAAGAGGCUCCUCUCCAACUCCUCCAUGAGCACACUCUGGUCCUGGGGCCUGUUCUCUCUCCAUGCAGGAGCUGUCACAAACUCCGGAGGUGGUGGCAAUGCUGGCUACACCACUCAUCCCAGCACCACCGGCCCCAGAGCCCAGUCAUCUGUCAGUGCCUUCACUGCCAGUGUUCAUGGACCACAUAAAACACCAAGAGACAGGGGUCCAGCUGUCUCUGGCAGCUUCACUCCUAUGAGAAAUGGAUGGGAGCAGCAGCAGCAGAAAAAUGGUCUAAUUUAUCAUCAUUCCCCACAACUUGCUCAACCUGAAACUACUCUGUGCCCUUUGGUUUGGAGCUGAGCUCUUUGCCUAUGCCAUUUCCUCUCCUGAUAAGGUAUGCUUCCUGUGUAGUCUUCUCAAUCUAGCUGACAUCUUCUGCCUGUUCCCUGUGUUGAUGGAAUGGAUACUGGAUGACAAAAUUGAAUGGCAACCCUGUCUCAGCCUAAUGCUCGAGCCCAUGCA